rnacentral:misc_RNA from 1 species
GACACUUCAGUUACAUUACAAAAGGUUAUUUUCCAUUUCUCAUGGAUGGUUAAUAAUGACAGUCGGAAGUGAUUAUAAGUUUCCCAGUCAUUUUAAUUUCGUUAAUGUUUGCCCAUGAUGACUCAUGAUGCUACUCGGUCUGGUGCAAUCUGAAAACAUUGAACCAACACUGUAUGCCUGUUUGUUUCUGGGCUUGAAAUACCAAUAAUCUUGUGAAAUCAUUAUAGUAGGUUUUCAGAAGUGGUACUUUGGGGGAAAUCCAAAAAUCUUUUGAGUAUGAAGGAAAAUAUUUUUCCUUUACCUUUUUCCUUUUCCUUAUAUUUUCUUCUGUCCUUUUAAAUUUUUUAACAUUUUUUCUUGUAGUCUACUGUUUGUUUCAUUUUCAAGUUAGUUUGGAUCCCG